UGGGGAGAAUGCAGGUGGUGUCUGGGCUGCAUUCUCUCCCUUGUUGUUUUUGGGGAAGGUCUUGCCUCCCUGAAUUGGGCUUUUAGCAUUUGGGGAGUGGCGUCCCAGAACAGUUUCUGCUUCUCUCCGGACUGUGUUCAUAUGCAGUGUCUCCUCUGUGUGUGGCUGUAUUCCAGUCUGUAAACGUGACUGCUGUGAGGACAGUGCAGAGUUAGUUGCUUAUUUUGUAAGACCUGUCUCAUUGUCAUGUGGUAUUUGCCCAGGAACUCGUGUUGUGACAUUCUUGUGGUGAGUGUGGCCCUUUAAAAGUUUCAUUUUCAGAUGUUAGAUGAGCCCCUAACUGGUGUCCUGAGAAGCAUUUAAGCCUCUCUCCCUAGAGUUUAAACCAGAGGAGCAGUAAUCCCAGUGGAGCCUGGGCUGGGGUCUAAAGAGAAGGUAGCAGAUGAGGUGGCAGAUGAUAGGCAGGGGCUGCUGUGGUCUCCUGACUCAUUUGCACAAAGGAGGGGCUGGCCUCUCCUGGGGAGGUAUUUCCGCUCAUUGCACCAAAUGAGGGCGCACAAAGGGCUGUAAUGUAAUGAGGCUCCUCUGGUGACGUCACUUGCAAGUGUGGUCAAAGUCCAGUUCUUGGGGGCUAGGAGACGGCAGUGGAGCUCUCCCUUCUCAGCUGUCACUGUGCCAUGGUGCCUACUUCCAGCCACUGAGCCGACACAGCUAGGCCCGGGGCAUGAACGCUUACAAGUACCAGAAGUUCCUGGAGGGGCUCAACAACCUGAGAGGGUUUAGAGAGAGGAGCAGUGAACCACAAUAGGAUGGCCACAACCUAUGUGGAUCAGGUUUAACAGUGACCUAAGUGGAUUCCUGAGGUUCUCAGGAGACCAUACCACUCAUAACUCUGUCUUCCUCUGCUGUAUGUGCUUCAGGAACAAAGUGCAGGAAUGAAUGAAUAACAUGGCUAGGAAUGAAUAAGUGACAGAUUAGAUGUACCUGUCAUAGUGAGUGUCCUGUAUGGGGCUGAAAUCAGAGAAGAGAAAUGACCACAGCAGCAGCAGCUCCCACUCCACUCUUCCUACCCAGACACUGGGACUCUCUGCCGUGUUAUUUUGGCUCUGCACGUCUAAGGUGAACUCAGAAACACUUACUGCUGUGGACAUUAAGUAAGAAGACAUAUGCACUUAGUUCAGUGUCUGCUUUACUUUGGACGUCCACUCAGUUGACCAGCCUGGAAGCCUGUUCCCAGUUGGCACAUCUGGGCUAGCAGGACAAGCCCUCACAUCCUGACAUGUGCCCUCCCAAAGUGGCCUUUUUUGGGGGACUUUUCUCCCCUCUUCAGUGUGACUAAUAAAGAACCCUAGGAAAAACACCUUAGAUUCCCCCCCGCCUCCCCGCAAUUAAAUAGAUGCGGUAUUUUGUCCUUAUAGAAAGAAUAGAAAAACAAAACACCCAAAUUACCAAAAUCCUACAGCCCAAAGAUCACUAUGUUCCUAUUUUCAUCAAGUCUUUGUCUAUCUCUCUCUAUAUAUAUAAUGUUGUGUUUUUAUAUAUUUGUUAUCAUUGUAAUUUAGUUGUCUUGCCCUUUAUUAUUUUGUGAGCAUUAUUUUUUUAUGCCUUUAACUAUUUGUCUGCAAUAUCAUUUCUUAACAGCUGUGUUAACUAUUUGUCUGCAAUAUCAUUUCUUAACAGCUGUGUGGAAUUUCAUCAAAUGUAAGGGUCAUUUAUUUAACGUCCUCCAAUUGUGGGGCGUGUACACUGCUCAUUUUUCAGUGCUUUAAUAUGAUAAUGAACAUCCUUAUAAAUAAACUUUUCUGUGCAUCUCUGAUUAUAUUUUUUGGAUAGAUUUCUAGAAGUGGAAUUACUGGUCUUAAUACAUAUAUUCAGAGCUCUGGAUGUUGGUUUUUAACUUUAUUUCACCUUUAAAAGCUACUGAGGUUACCUGUAACCCUUUGAAUACCUUUCUGAUAGCUCUCGGCCCUUUCCCUCCAGGGACAGCCCUGUCUUCGGGCUUAGUGGCCAGCAGGUUCAGAUGUUUUAUUAUCCAGUUAAUUUCAUCAUGGGACAGGUAGGUGCCAAGCGUCUCUUUCACUUAGUCAGCAGCUCCCACAUGUCAUCAUCACAUCACUGCACUGUCUUACUCUGAAGCUUUUCCCCCAGCAGCUCCAGCCUUCAUUGAAAAAUGGCUUCAUUGAUUCUUCCCACUGUAGUACCUUUUCCUUUUCUAUCAGGAGAGAUCCAUAAUGUUGAUCUGGAAACUGUAGUACCAAGAAUGACCUAAUCAAUGCUGUAUAGAGAUCCCACAUUGGAACCCCAGAUGGUACAAGGUUGAGAUUCUCUUUUUUUAGGUACGCGGGCCUCUCACUGUUGUGGCCUCUCCCCUUGUGGAGCGCAGGCUCCGGACGCGCAGGCUCAGCGGCCAUGGCUCACGGGCCCAGCCGCUCCGCGGCACGUGGGAUCUUCCCGGACCAGGGCACGAACCCGUGUCCCCCGCAUUGGCAGGCAGACCCUCAACCACUGCGCCACCAGGGAAGCCCCGAGAUUCUCUUUUUCUUUUGCUGUUGUCGCUGAGCUAGCAUCUACCUAGUAAAUUGCGCCAGCUUAACCUGAUAUAAUAGGCUGACGUUCUGCUGUGUCAUCACACUUGCUUAUGGUAGGUGUCUGCCUCUGGAAGAAAUGGAAAUGGUGCUGUGUGUUUAAAUCAACAUAUUGCAGUUGAGUGCAAAUUGGCUUCUGUUACUUGGGACUGACAGCCCUUAGGGUUAUUAUUAUGGACAUGAUGAGAGUACAGUCUUGUUUCUGACUUGGAGUUGACGUCCUGCAGCAGACAAUGUGGGGUUUUCCAGCUGAUGAUAGACUGGAUAGACGGUGUUUGGAGAUUAGCUUGAGGACUGAGAGAAGGAAGACACACAUGUGUGGGGCUUUGUGUGCCGGCGUCAAUAAGAACAUCCCGACAGCAUCCAGGAUGGUGGAAAAUGGCUUGAGUCACCCCCAGGAUUGCAUCCUUCCCAGUGAGAACUGCCUGCCUCUCCCGUUCCCAGAGCCCUUAAGCAAGCCUAUCACAAUGGGUUGGUUCUCUCCUCUGCAAGGAAUUCAGGAGUCUGCAUGCUUCUGGGGUGAGACCUGUCAAGACCUUUUACACCUACUAGACCCUCAGUAUAUCCUGUACUUUUUGGAUGCUUGGCAGUUUUGUACUGUUAAAGUUUAUCCCCUCCUUAAUUGUAUAUUUUUAGGCUUACUGCUUGUCUCUGGGCUGGAGAGGGGCAUUCUGUGCUGGUUUGAAAUGUGUGGGAAAUACGGGGUUCCAUGGUGUAAUGGUUAGUACUCUAGACUGUCAAAUGUGUGGGUUAGUUCUGUGGUGGGAUGGGGCUUUUGUUUUUGGUUACAACAGGGGAUGAGUGUUAUAUUCUCCCUCUUUCUCAAAGAGUGAGCCUAUAUGCUAACAAAGAAUAAAUUAUCAUUUCCCCCGCAUCCUUGGUCUUGUGUUUUUUUGAAGUAGGCAUUUCUGAAAGGUAA